rnacentral:tRNA from 1 species
GGCCUAUUAGCUCAGUUGGUUAGAGUGUUGUGCUAAUAACGCGAAGGUUGCAGGUUCGAGACCUGCAUGGGCCA